UUCAUUGUCAUUAGAGAAUGAGACUUUUAUGAUUCCUAGAUCAGGCCUUUGUUGAAAUUUAGUUUGUGGCCUAAAAAGUACUAUCUAAAGUAUAGUACAGAUACUUACAACUAAAUUGUUAUCUAUGGAUAUUGAUAAAAUGUAAUAGAUAUUCUUAUUAUACUUACUAUAUUGUUAAUUUUAGUUUAUUUUAGAACAUUUACAUUCAAAUUUUUAAUAAGCAUACUUGAAAUUAAGAACUAAAUAGUAUGUAUCAAUUAGAUUUCUUUGUUGUCUCAAAAACAAAACGCAACAGACUCUUACUUAGGCAAGAAUAGAUAAUUUUUGUGGAGAGUAUUAAUUGGCUCUUAAGACCAAGGAAAAAUUAAGUAUUUGGGCUGUAAAUAAAUUGGUUCUUGAUUUCAGAAACUCAGAGUCCAUCACUCAAAAAUUCUAGAAGAUUCAACUCCAACUGUGUUCUGUCCAUGCACUUCUCUUCUCAAACAGCCAAGGCAGACAGUCUGAGCUCCAACCAGUGAUCAAGUGGGCAUGGUCCUGGAGGCAUCAGCCCUGCAUCAGCUUAGCAGAACCACUGGGAGAAGGGGAAGAAAAGUUUCACCAAGAAAGGGAUGUGUGGCCAGAGCUUAAGCACUUGGAAGCAUUUUGUGAAGUUUGCUGUAUGCACUUAGUUACAGUCUACAGUGACCAGACAGGAGAGCAGUGAAGAGGAAUGAAAUAAAUGGCACCAGUGAUCUGAGACUGCAAUAUCAGUAUGUACAUUCAGGCUCAUGGCAGCUAAAAUAAUUCGUUCUUUUAAUAAGUUGGUUAAAAUAUUACCUUUA
rnacentral:lncRNA from 1 species